rnacentral:rRNA from 1 species
CCUACGGGAGGCUGCAGUAGGGAAUAUUGCUCAAUGGGGGAAACCCUGAAGCAGCAACGCCGCGUGGAGGAUGAAGGUUUUAGGCUUGUUAACUCUUUUUGUUAGAGAAGAUUAUGACGGUAUCUAACGAAUAAGCACCGGCUAACUCCGUGCCAGCAACCGCGGUAAUAUGGAAGGUGCAAGCGUUACACGGAAUCAAUGGGCGUAAAGCGUGCGUAGGCGGGGGAAUAAGUCAGAUGUGAAAUCCUGUAGCUUAACUACAGAACUGCAUUUGAAAAUGUGACUGUGGAGUGUGGGAGAGGUAUGUGGAAGUCUUGGUGUAGGGGUAAAAUCCGUAGAGAUCAAGAGGAAUACUCAGUGCGAAGGCGACCUGCUGGAACAUUACUGACGCUGAUGCACGAAAGCGUGGGGAGCAAACAGGAUUAGAUACCCCAGUAGUC